UAGGGAAUCUUCGGCAAUGGACGAAAGUCUGACCGAGCAACGCCGCGUGCGUGAAGAAGGUUUUCUGAUCGUAAAACUCUGUUGUUAGAGAAGAACAAGGACGUUAGUAACUGAACGUCUACUGACGGUAUCUAACCAGAAAGCCACGGCUAACUACGUGCCAGCAGCCGCGGUAAUACGUAGGUGGCAAGCGUUGUCCGGAUUUAUUGGGCGUAAAGCGAGCGCAGGCGGAUUCUUAAGUCUGAUGUGAAAACCCCCGGCUCAACCGGGGAGGGUAAUUGGAAACUGGGGGACUUGAGUACAGAAGAGGAGAGUGGAAUUCCAUGUGUAGCGGUGAAAUGCGUAGAUAUGUGGAGGAACACCAGUAGCGAAGGCGGCUCGCUGGUCUGUAACUGACGCUGUGGCUCGAAAGCGUGGGGGGCAAACAGU
rnacentral:rRNA from 1 species